CUUAAAUGAAUUGACGGGGCCCGCACAAGCGGUGGAGUAUGUGGUUUAAUUCGAUGCAACGCGAAGAACCUUACCUGGUCUUGACAUCCCGGAGACCCUUAGGAAACUAGGGGGUGCUUCCAUCUGGAAGAAUCUGGAGACAGGUGCUGCAUGGCUGUCGUCAGCUCGUGUCGUGAGAUGUUGGGUUAAGUCCCGCAACGAGCGCAACCCUUGCCUUUAGUUGCCAGCAGUUCGGCUGGGCACCUAAAGGGACUGCCGGUGUUAAACCGGAGGAAGUGGGGAUGACGUCAAGUCCUCAUGGCCUUUACGGCCUGGGCUACACACGUGCUACAAUGGUCGGUACAAAGGGUUGCCAAGCCGCGAGGUGGAGCUAAUACCCAUAAAACCGAUCGUAGUCCGGAUCGCAGUCUGCAACUCGACUGCGUGAAGUCGGAAUCGCUAGUAAUCGUGAAUCAGAAUGUCACGGUGAAUACGUUCCCGGGCCUU
rnacentral:rRNA from 1 species